rnacentral:rRNA from 1 species
GACGAACGCUGGCGGCGUGCUUAACACAUGCAAGUCGAACGGAAAGGCCCUUCGGGGUACUCGAGUGGCGAACGGGUGAGUAACACGUGGGUGAUCUGCCCUGCACUUUGGGAUAAGCCUGGGAAACUGGGUCUAAUACCGAAUAGGACCACGCGCUUCAUGGUGUGUGGUGGAAAGCUUUUGUGGUGUGGGAUGGGCCCGCGGCCUAUCAGCUUGUUGGUGGGGUAAUGGCCUACCAAGGCGACGACGGGUAGCCGGCCUGAGAGGGUGACCGGCCACACUGGGACUGAGAUACGGCCCAGACUCCUACGGGAGGCAGCAGUGGGGAAUAUUGCACAAUGGGCGCAAGCCUGAUGCAGCGACGCCGCGUGAGGGAUGACGGCCUUCGGGUUGUAAACCUCUUUCGCCAGGGACGAAGCGCAAGUGACGGUACCUGGAGAAGAAGGACCGGCCAACUACGUGCCAGCCGCCGCUGUAAGAC